rnacentral:rRNA from 1 species
GUGGAGCGGUAUACGGCUCAGUAACGGGCGAUUUAUUUGUUCUCCUGGGACGGACAACAUCGGGAAACUGAUGGGAAAACGUCUAAGUUGCAGUUAAUUGACUGUGACGUAAACCUUUGUGUGCAGGAGAGUAAGAUGCCAUCCUAUCAGUUAGUAAGUAGGGUAAGGGCCUACUUAGACGAAGACGGGUACGGGGAAUGAGGGUUUGAUUCCGGAGAGGGAGCCUGAGAGAUGGCUACCAGGACCAAGGUCAGCAGCAGGCGCGAAAAUUAUCGAAGCCCGCCUAGGGGCGAUAGUGAGGAGACGUGUAUAACGAAGUACGUGUAAAGAACGUGCUAAUAACUGGAGGUCAAGUCUGGUGCCAGCAUCCGCGGUAAUUCCAGCUCCAGGGGUGUCUAUGAUGAUUGCUGCGAUUAAAAAGUCCGUAGUCAAUCUGACUGACUGACCUGCAAUGUGAUUGAUUAAAGAACGAGCAGGGUUAGGAAAGCAGAGAAUUAGGAGCGACCGAGGGCUAGAGUAUUGAAUGGCGAGAGGUGAAAUUUGAUGACCCAUUCAGAGUGACAAAGGCGAAGGCACUAGUCAAGGGCGAAUCCGAUGAUCAAGGACGUAGGCUAGAGUUUCGAAAACGAUUAGAGACCGGAGUAGUUCUAGCAGUAAACUAUGCCGACGCCGUGGUAUCAAUAAUGGUAUUGCGGAAGAGAAAUCAAGUAAGGCUUUGGGGAGAGUACGCGCGCAAGCGAUAAAUUUAAAGGAAAUUGACGGAGGAACACCACAGGGAGUGGAGUGUGCGGCUUAAUUUGACUCAACGCGGGACAGCUUACCAA